UACGUAGGGUGCAAGCGUUAAUCGGAAUUACUGGGCGUAAAGCGUGCGCAGGCGGUUGAUGUAAGACAGAUGUGAAAUCCCCCGGGCUCAACCUGGGAACUGCAUUUGUGACUGCAUCGCUGGAGUACGGCAGAGGGGGGAUGGAAUUCCGCGUGUAGCAGUGAAAAUGCGUAGAUAUGCGGAGGAACACCGAUGGCGAAGGCAAUCCCCUGGGCCGUACUGACGCUCAUGCACGAAAGCGUGGGGAGCAAACAGG
rnacentral:rRNA from 1 species